rnacentral:pre_miRNA from 1 species
GUCGUACUCCCUCCGUUCGGAAAUACUUGUUGAAGAAAUGGAUAAAUCUAGACGUAUUUUAGUUAUAGAUGCAUCUAAUUUUAUCCAUCUCUCCGAUAAGUAUCUCGGUACGGAGGGAGUGGUGU